AUGCCUUGUGAACAAAGGAAUAACCUUAAAAGCAAUAGCCUGUUGCACAUUCAUAUAUUUCAUACAUGGUUCAUAAAUUCCUUGCAAAUUAAGAACUUUUGUGGUUUUUGUCAACAACUUCUCCUUAAUCCUGUUGGUUCCACAAAGACAGAGAGAAGGUGGAAGAAUGUUUGUCUUUUCUGAUGAGGCAGUAACUCUUCAUGGGCCCGUUUCGCUGACAUCUCUGUAUGAAGAGUUUCUUGAUUAUCUCAUCUUCCUGCUUGAGCUUGUAUCAAAUCCUAUAUUGCAGAGUUUCUAUUUUAACAUUAGGUUGUAAUCUAAAACUACAUUUAACACACUCCAGAAGAGAACUGAUACAGCAUAACUUUCUAACAGUACACAUAUAAUAUUCAUUGUAACAUUUGCAAAAAUCCAAUCAUAAAAUAGGCAUUUUUCACAGCGGCCUUAGAGACACUUGGCUAGUGUGGACUGGAAAUUAGGAUCUCAGCACAGAGGAGAGAUGUGAUGGGGAGAUUUUAGGGGCACAUCCAUGAACCAGGAGGCUGAAGUGUAUUGCAUCCAUUGGGUCUGCCAGAAUUUCACUGGAAUGAAUAAACGGUGAUUUUUUACAGUGAAGGGGCUUGAUGAAGUCCAUGGGAAUCUACAGUGUUCAGUUUCUAAAAGGGACAAAAUAAUGUCACAUAUUUCUGUUGAGACAGGAUUGUUCCAAGCAGGCAGAAUGAAAACUGACUGGUAAAGUGCAGAAAGCUGAAGGAUUAAGUGCCAGAAUCAAAUUCACUUGGAGAAUUUCAUAAUAGAUGGAAAUCUCUCCUUGAUGAGGGCAUGCAUGGCUAUUAUUGCUCAGAAGUGUUUUUUUGGAAACAUCAGAUGGAGUUCUCAGCAGCAUUAGUUCCAUGCUUGACAGCUGUCAGAAAAAGCAAAUUGAAUAUUUAGCAAUUUUGAGAGGCAUCCAACACAGAAAAUACAGCCCUGUUUCUGCUGGAAUUGGUUUCACAUGUGCUGCUGUACACAAAUUUUGGUUCCCCUGUGUCUCACAGAGGUGUGGUCCAGAGGAAGGUGGAAGGAAUGACAGAGGGGAGGAGGAGCUGCAGUGCAGGGGAGACAGGGAAUUCAUGGUACAGACUUUCCCUUGGGAAAGGAGUGACAGAUGAGUGAAAUGGAGAAAAGGAUAGAUUGGAAUUAUUAUUGAUAUUGAUUUGAAUAUUGAUGUUCUAGUGAUAUUACUCAUAAGGCAGGGAUUAUGAGCUCAAUGACUCAUGAAAAGCAUGGCUCUUUUUGUGCUGUUCAACAGCUUUUCCACUGGAUAGUUCAGAUGCAAAAAAUAAAUGCAAGUUAAGAAUAAUUGUCUAAAUUACUGUAUGGUAUUUCUUACACAACAAAAUGCAGGUUAUCCCUCUUUGCAGAUUACUGUGGGCAACACUGGUGCUUGUAUUCUUUCAUAAACACCUAAAGGGGAUUGUUGUUGGACAGGGGAUUUUAACUGACACAAUCCAGUUAAACCAGCUCCUCUGAUGUAUGGCAUUAGAAUUGUAUUUAUGGACCUGGUGUGUGGCUCUUGGUUAUGGUUUUUUUAUGUACAGAAAUUGUGUAUCUAUAAAUACACAAUGGGAAAUUUAAAGACAGGUAUCAGCAUUUAUGUUAUUCAGUGGCAUUAAAAAUGUAUUUGUUGAAUUAUGAUGAAAGAAUACUAUUUAAAUCUUUUAAAGUAGCAGUAGUUUUCUUGAAAGCUAUUUUCUAUUGAAUGGAUUCCUAUCACAUUAUUUUAGAUUCCAAAAUGUUUUAUUGAUCUGUUUAGGGAGAAAAUCAGCGCCUUGGCUUUCAGGUAAACCUCAUCUCAGGAUCCUGUGAUGUGGGAUGCAGUUUCAGUUUCACUCUGCUUUGAUCCUUAGCUACCCAAUCCUCCUUUUUAUUAAUGGUAGAAGAAAAUUUGUAUUUUAUAGUCAGCAAUACCAAUGAUGCUGUAAGCCAGCUGCUUUCCCAGGCAGUGCUGGUGGGAAGGGAAAUGCUUUCAAACCAAGUGUGUUCCUUGUUGCUGGCAGUGCUCCUAGGAGCAAACCUGGUACGUUUUGUAGCUCCCCUUCUGUGUUCCUGCAGCCUCUGGGGAUGGGUUCAUGACUUCAAUUAUAGGUCCAAGACUGAAAAAAACCAGUAAAAUACAUUAUAGUCAGACAACCCUUCCAGUUAUUUGAAUGUGUGAUUUUAAUUAUCUUAUAAUUUAAGUGUUUUCUCAGCCAAAGAUCAAGGAGUGUCAGUUUGGUGUCUGUGUGGGGAUGGGCUUUUCUUUUUAAUCUCCAGCCUUAAUCAACCUUUUGUGUCUUCUGCUGCCCAGAGUAGUUGUGACCUGGAGUGGCCUGACACUGUUUUGUGGAUAUAAUUAAUAUAAUUAUAGGAUCAAUAAUAAAUAUCAUUAAUAUAAGAAUAUGGUACAGGCCACAGUAUUUAUUUGCUGCUUUUUUACCAGCAUUCCUAAGUUUAGCUGAACACAGAGAAUAAUGAAUUAUUUAAUUAAUUUUUGGAGUAAAUUUGGGUGUUUACAUAAUGGAGAAAAACUGGAGGGAAAACCCAUUUACAUAAGAAUUCAGGAGCAAAUGAAAGAAAGCUAACUGCAUCCUCAUUAUUCUAUUUGAAUGCAGCGUGCCAGCCAACUCUGCCAUUUGGUGGAAGGCCUUAUUAAUGACUCCUAAAUGAGCAGACUUGGGAUGGUGAUAUUAUCUGUGAUGCAUUAUUGAAUCAACAGAAAUAAACCUGCUGUCAUUAGCCUAAUUAUUUAGAUAUGCUGGAAGAUAAUGACUAUUUUAAGUGCAAAUAAGCUGCAGUUAGCAAGCAACUAACCAAAUAAAUAAGUGAGGUGGGAUAGCAAGGGAGUGACUCGGGGGAGCAGGGAGGGAAAGGGGAGAAAUGCAAGGAAUUGCUGGAGAAAAACGCUCAGGAUGCCAUUUCUCACUGUUCCAAGGAGGGCAAAGCACUGCUCCCCGAGAUGGAGGGAUGGGGGGAUGGAGGGAUGGGGGGAUUGAUAGAAAGGCAGAGGUGAUAUUGGAUGGAUGAAUAGAUAGAAAGAAAGGCAGAGGUGAUAUUGGAUAGAUGGAUAGAUAAAUGGAUGUGAUAUUUUAAUUGGAUUUAAGGUUCUUUCAAUUUUAACUCUCCUGCUUUGCCAGAACAUCUGUCUGAAGUGAACUCUGAGCCUGUGCUAGAUCAGCUCUGCCCCUGGCCAUGGGUGCAUCUGUGAAUGCUGGAAUUACCCACAGAUGGGCUGGCUGGGCUCAGCAGCACCAGCUCACUGGGGUUUGGCUGCUCUGCUGCCCUUCAGUGGAACAAACUGGGACUAGAAAUCAGUGCCCAGAAGGUAAAAUAACUCUUCCUGUUAACAGUUAGGGAAAGGGAAAAAAAAAAAAAAGAGAGAAGGAAACAAAAUUAACUUCCUGAAAAAUACUUGUCAACUGUAGUUGAAUAACUGCUAAUUUGAAUGUCAAGUUUUCUCAUUAAUCCCUUGAUUAAAACAAUUUACUUUUUAUAGCCAAAAUACUUGCAUAAAUAUAGAAAAUAUAAUAAUGUAUAAGUUAUAUUUAAAACCUUUUUUCUGAGGUUAGAUGUGUUGGUAAUUAAGUCUGUCUGUCAGAAGAAAAUAAGGGUUAGAGGCAUGUCCUCAUAGUUGCAUGCAGGAAUCUGUCUUUAUGCAUCAUUUUUCCCUAAUUAGCUCUUAAAAUAAAGAAAAAGCAGUUGUUUUGUGUGCUGUUUUGGGUUGUCGUUGAGAUUUUUUCUCGAUAUCAAUGUGAAACUAGUGAAAAGAGUUCUUUCUGAUUGCAGGAAGCCUGUACUGUAUAACAGAAGAGGAAAUUUUAGAAUUAAAUUUUCUUUAAGUGUCUGUGACUUCACAGUUUGCUAAUAAAUUCCCUUUUUUUAUUUCAUUAUGGAUUGUGGGGCUUUUGUUACCUGCAAGAUUUUAUGUAAUUUCAUCCUGGUUCUCUUUUAAGUGAUUAUAGACUGGAAGAUCCUCUGAGCAAGGGGUAAAGGGGAAUCCUUUGCUCUGAGUGCUCAAAAAGAGACACAAAAAAAAGCCCCAGAAGGCAAACAGAAACAAAGCUUCCUGCAGUUCAGCUGAAGAUUUCUCCUUAGUGGAAUAACUCUCCUGUUAAUUCUCAGUUCAGAAUCAUCUCCUGUGAGUGUUUACCACCCAUUAGAAUUCAUCCUCUAUUAUACUUAGAGCACAAGAUUUAUGUGGUGUGAGUACAUUUACUUUCCCAUGCUUCUUGUUGGGUUAUUACCUAAGGAUUUUUUUAAACUGAGUUUUCUGCUCUUUCUGAAAUUCACUUAGAAAGCCCUAUCAGACAUUUUCAUAUGCAAAAUGUGUUUCAAGCAGAAAAGCACUGUGCUCUCCACCUUGAGCUGCUAACAGGUGCUCACAGACUGCAGGUUUUUUUGUUUUUAAUGAGGGCAAAGGAUCUUUGUUGAGCCAGGACAGAGUUCCUCUUGUAGUGACAUCAGAGAAGGAUUAAAAUGCCAAUAAUAUCAGGACUUUCUCAGGUCUGCUGUUAACAAUACAAUGGUGUUAAACAUGCCGAGAUAGAUGUGGUGAUUUUUAUUCCAUUUCUCAUUUCAGUGGCUUCAUGUUGCUCAUGCUUUGGCAUGAAAGGUAAAUUAAAUGGUAUUUCAGUUAAGAGAGUUGCAUGUGUUUUGAUACCAAAGUAGUUUCCUUUCUGGAAAAGUUUAACCUACAACAAAAUUGUAAUGCUCAAAAUAGACAGAAGAGAAAGCACUGCACAGAGUCCUUAUGAAACCAUUCUGAAGUUGAUUAAUGUUUCAUGGAGUUUAUUUACAAUAUGUAUAAUAGAAUUUUGCAUAAUUCAAAAGCAUGCUAUUUGAUCUUGCAGCAUUUAUUGAACUAAGAGUUUUUAUAAAAUGCAUAAACAAAUAUAUCAAACAAAUGGUAGAAGCACUCCAGGGUAAAGUACAUCAUCUGGCUGAGAACUCUAUCUGAAGUGCUACUCGAGAUUCUCAGUGUGCAAAUGCCCUGUACACAAUGAGCCUUUAAAACACAUUUUCAUAUUUAAAGUGAUUCCUCUAUCCUUUAGUACAAAAAAUAUUUUUUUUUUGGAGUCAUAAUGAUUGGAGCCAGUAAGGCAUAAAUAGGCACCACAUGAAGAUUGAUGCAGGUCCUCAGUAAAUCCUGGUUCUUGGAGGGGGUUAUUCUUGCAGAUCUACAGUUUGAAGAUUCAGUCUUUUGGGAGUCACUCACACUUCCCCUGCAUGGGGGGUGGGGGAUGUCAUCAAACUCAUUCCAGAAAGAGCCUUCAUCCAGACAGAGACACUGAUUAUCCCUGGGGUUUUCAGUGCUUUUCUGAUAUCAUUUUCUUGAUAUCAUCUCGAUAUAAUUUUCUUAUCCUUGGUCCUGGUGUGCCUGGUUCUGUUAGGGACAUGAUUCAUGUGGAGGGAGCCUGCAACAAACCCAGCUGCAAAGGCAGUGGGCUAAGCUUGUGAUAACUGAAAUGUGUCUUGAGACAGAUUUUUCCUUUCCAGGUUUUUACUUUCUUUUUAGUCCCAGAUUUUUCUUUGUUUAGUUAAUGACAUGUAAUCAUUGCAGCAGCCUGUGAAACAAGCACUGAAACAUCUGCAUGUUAUUCACGAGCCAUUGCUGCUGCGUGUAGAAGAGAAAAAUAUCCCUCACUGACUUCUCCCACCUCCCAGUCUGGGCUAGAGACUGGCAGGACAGAAAGCAACCUUAGAAAAACUGAUAAUUGAUAAUGGGAAGUUAGAUUCAAAUUUGGGUUAAUUUGCCAAUCUCAGCUCUUUGGCUGCUGAUGCUUUUAAAAGUUUUGGAGGUCUGAUUUCUGUGUGGGGUUUUGGGUGGUGUUUUCUUUGCCUGCCAAGUUUUCCCAAAUGCCACAGGUUUAUUUCACAUCCCAUCCAAUCUCCUUGGCUCAUCCAGUGUUUUUGUCAGGGAAUAUCUCUGUGGUGCUGUGGGCAUGAAGCAAGCAAAACCAAAAAGAAAAAUGUAUUGUUUGGAAGAUAUUUAAGAAUACCAUUGCCUGGAAGAGGAACGGCAGAAUUAAAAAUUAGUCAGUUUUCUUCUUGCUACAUAGAAUUCUGCAAUAUGACAUCUCCAAGUAUCAUCAUUCUGUGAUGAUAUAGGGACAGUGUCUAAUUAUUUUCAUUCUGUAACUUCCAAAUCUAUGUUUUGUUGUUUAUUAGCCCUGAAAGGCCUCUGACUCUGCAGCAGUAUGGAGGUUUGCAUGUAAAAACAGAAGAGGUGACCCACCACAGAUCCCAAAUCCUCCAGUGGUGCAGUUGCAGACCUCCCUCUGUGCCUGUCCAGUGCUCCAGGGAGGGUGUGGAGGAAGAACUCGCUUACAGGGGUUUUUAAGGAAGAAUAGGCCUUAAAUGUAAAUCUUGUUGUGCUACUAGAAUCAUGAUUUAUUGAAUCACAGAGAGAUUGGAAGAUUAUUAUAGACUAUUAUUUAAUAUAUUAAAUAUAUAUUAUUCUAUAAUAAUCCAGAUUAUUAUAGAAUAAUAAUUGAAAGAUUAUUAUAGAAUUAUAUUAGAUUAUGAUAGAAUUAUUAUAGAAUCACAGAGAGGUUGGAAGAGACUAAGAGCUCCCACCCCUGCCAUGGCAGGGACACCUUCCACUGUCCCAGCUGCUCCAAGCCCCAGUGUCCAGCCUGGCCUUGGACAUUUCCAGGGAUCCAGGGGCAGCCACAGCUGCUCUAGGCACCCUGUGCCAGGGCUGCCCACCCUCCCAGUGUGGGAUAGUGUCUUCUGUAAAACUAAUAAGAAUGUGCAGCUGAGGAUGGUGGACUAAAGGAGGGACCACUAAUGUAGUGGAAAAAAAAAAAAAUCAAUGAUAUUACUGAAAAAGGAAAAGAAAAGCUGUGUAUUAGCACAUGGAAAGAGCCAGCAGUGUGCCUUCCUGGCAGAGAGGCUGCAUGGUGUGUGCUGGGCUGCUGAAGGAGGGUUGCUGGCAUGUGGGGUGGCUCCUUCUGUCUGCUCAGUGCUGGGGGGGCCAUGCUGGGGUUGUGGGGCCACUGUGGCAUCCCCAGGACGCAGCGAUGUGGCACUGCUUAGCCUGAGGGGAGGAGGCUCAGGGGUCCAGCUCAGCUGGGGACAGGGUGCCAGGACCUUUCAGCAGUGCCUGGUGGCAGAGCAGAGGUGCACAGACUGGCACUGGGGGUUCCCUGUGCUCAGGAGACAUUCCCCACUGCGAGGCUGGCUGAGCACUGAGGGCUGGGCACCUUCUGGGCAUCUUCUGGGCUCUUGGGGCUGUGCCAAAGCCGGCUGGACACUGUCCAGGGCAGCUCUGGGUGUCCCUGCUUGAUGUCCAGAGCUCCUGUCCAUCCUCAGCAGCCUGAGGGUUAAUUAUGCAACAGUGCCAAUGUGAGAGGUUCAUGUAACUCCUUCAGGCCUCAGCCUCUUCUGCAACAUCAUUAAACACUUCAGCAGAGAUGCAAGAAGAGAAAAGGAGAGGAGAGAAUGUUACUUUACAGGGAGUAGUGAUUGACAUAAUUAAAUUAGCUAAGAGUCAUGCCCUUUCAUUUAUGUCAGCCACUGCCCAGUGUGAUCUCCAAGCAUUUCAGGCUCCUACAUGUUGAUACAUGGAGAUAACAUCUGUGCCACAACAGUUAGGGAAUUUUGUCUUUUCCUUGUGUGAAGGAUGAACUUGGAAUUUAAAUGAACAGAAUAUAUCCUAAACCAGACAACAAGUGCACGGCAAGCCUCCUAAUAGCAAACAUCAUUUAGUGCCAGGGAGAGGUUUUCUCUGUUGGAGAUCUUAAAAAAAAAAAAAAAAAUUAGCCCUACUCUGUCAAGGACAGCAGAAAUAAAAUUUGAUCCUAUACUGGAGCUAUGGAAUGGAGCAGUGAAAUCUCAAGGUGCCCUUAUUUAAACACUUGUCUAAAGACAAGGUUUAGGAUUCUCUUGGAAAUUUGCAUUGUCAGCUGAAUGCAUUGAAAAGAUAACAUUCCCAUGCAGAAGUGAGCGAGGGUAUGGAGUAUUUUAAAACAGAAUAACCUUAUCUAAAAAACCCAACCAGCCUCAAACAAAAGACUCCCCACAGCCCAAAACAAUGUGAUCACUGUAGUCCAGUAUAUCCAAACUGAUUUGUUCUUUGUUUUUCCUUCUUUCUACCUACACUCCUUGGCAGUAACACUUCUCUGAAAAAGAAUUUUCACUCUGCUGCUUUCCUUGCUGUGCUAAUCACCUGUAUCUGAAAAUACAUCUUCAAAAUUGUUUUACUCUGACAGGUCAGCAGAUAAAAACUGGAUACCAGGGGGUAAAUGCACUCACUAAUAGACUUGCUUUCUGUAACCUAAGCAAUAUUCCAGAAAAAAACCUUGGGUCAUCAUUGGUGUUAGGUUUGAAAAUAUUACUGGAGAAUGAAGUCCUGUACUUAGUUGCUGGAGACGAGAUUUUUUUUUUGUUUUUCUUAGUUUCUGGUUUUUCUUGUCUCUCAGCUAAUUUAUGUGAUAAUUACCACCACAGCUGACUGACCAAAAUCUUUAAUGAUAAAACUAUAGGAGCCCAGGCACCAUGGUGGGAGCAAGCUAUUAGUGCCUCUACGUGUGAGACACACAGAGUGCUUUCCCCUCUCAGAUUUCCCUUUAGCACAGAGUUACUCAGUGGAAAUUCAAGUGUCUCCAAACGUUGCCUGCUCCUCGAUUCCAGGUGAGGCUGGGGUUUUGUGCCAGGGUGUAGCACGAUAAAAUAAAACAAUUUCCAUACUGCUGAUCCCACCAGUUUGUUGGGAGGGCAGAGCUUUGCAGACAGAGGCUGCUCUGCUGCAGGAACCUCUCUGAGCUGGCUGGGCAGUGCGAGCUCUGUAACGUGCUGAUUAUGCUGAUGUGCACAAAAGGCAGGGUUGGAUACAUUUCCAUCUUUUUCACACUUGCUGACUUAUGGUCUAUCACUUCUGUGCUAUAUAUUGUCUGCAAAAAGUGAUUUCUCAGGUUGAACUUAAGAAUUGCUGAAUUAUUGAUGCAUUUUAAGCAUGCAUUAAUGGCUUGGAUGUGAAUUUCUAUAUUUAACAUAACCACUGAUAAUCUGGGCCUACUUAGGAAAGAGUGUGGUCAAUUAUUUUUCCCAUUAUCUAAUGUUUGUUUCAGGAAAAGCAUGAUUUAUAGUCAUCUGAUUUAUUGAAAUAUGGGGAUUUUUUGGCAAUUUUAGUAUUGUAGAACAGAAUGUGUUUAUUAAUUCCAUGAACUAAGGAUGACUUUAAAUGUUGUCCUUUCUAAUAGCUGAAUGCCUGCACACCAAUAAAAAAAAAAAAAACAUCCCUCAAACAGAUCUUUGAAAUUAUUGAGCCAUUGGUUGUUUCAGGGCAGUAAUAUCACAGCUUCAACAAAAAACAUUCUUCACUCUGGAGCCUGGACCUAAAGCAUCCAGAAUCUCCCAGUAUGUUCUACUAGGUAAUACUGUUGGUAAUAAAAUCCUGGAGCAGGCAUGAAUGUAAAAAUAAUACUGUUUUAGCUGUUGGCUGGAUCAGGCAGCUUCUCUGACUGGAAAUUAAUUGGGUUUUGUAGAGUUAGUUUUGUUUGCAUCACCUGGCCCUACUGUGAUGAAUUGGGCAACUGUGGGACCACUGGGACCAGCAUUUAGGAGGAGAGGAGAGCACUGGAAAGGGCAGCCCUGCUCCCUGGGUAAUUCUGUCUAUCCAAAGCACUGCCUUGGGGUCUCACACAGCAUUAGGGGAGUCAGGAAAGAGCUGCUGCAUCCUCCUUCCCACACUGAGGCUUUUCCUGCUUAAAAAAAAUAUAAAAAUACCUUGAAAUCUUGAUUUUACACAACUGGUCAGGGACUAGAAAAUUGAUUGGCAAUGCUGAUAUCAACUUAAGUUUGCUUUUAAAAUCAACAAUCUAUUUCCAACAGCCAGAGCACGAUACCCAAGGUUUCAAAAGCAGAGUGCCAGAAGGAUUCUCAUGCUCAGGCCAACAAGAGGGAAAGCUUUCUUUGAGCCUCUUCACGAGACAAGUGCUUUCUCUGGCAUCAGUGUUUGUCCUGCUGCCAGAACCCUUCCUGUGACAACAAGGCAUGAAAUUUCCCUCAAGCCUGGCAUCUAGCUGGAUUUGCUCACUGUGGUAGGGACAGCCAGUUAAAUAAUACAAAGUGAUUUUCAACAAGUUUAAUGCAUCUUAUCUAGCUGAUAUCCUCUAGGACUGCUCUGAUACCCUUUACUGCUUUUUAGUGAUUUUUUUUUUUUUCCCUGUGUAAAAAAAUAGCACUUUUCUCUAAAUGAAACACUGUUCUGUCACUGAGGAUGGGAUGUGGACUUGUGGAAUCAGAUUCUAGGGACAGAUGAUCUGUUUUAACAUUCCCUGGAGAAUGUUACUACUGCUCAGAAUGUAGGCUGCAGGUAAUAAAAGUUGGUGUGUGUUAUUUUGGACAGAAGAAGAGGGGAAAUCCCUUUGAUUUCUUUUAUUCUUGGAGCAGUGAUUAUAGGAGUGCCAAGUCUGUCCUGCAGGGGUGCUCCAUAUGAAGUGCUGGCACUUCCUAGCUAAUUUCUGUUUAAAAAAAAACCCUUAAAAAUCAAAAUUUUCAAAACCAGAUCCACCACACAAAUAAGCCCAUCUACUGCAACUACCAACCUCCCUGGCCUUGAUAAUAAAUCCCCUGCUACAUUUUUAAACCAGAAAAUGAAUUUUACAGUUGAAGCACGUUUAUUAAGCUUACAAAUGUGAUCCCCACCUCCCAUUGCCUGCUUUCUAUACAAAUGAAGGGUCAUUUGAAGGAAGAGAUGUCAUUUGGUACCUUAGGAAAACAUGGUGGUAAGGAGCUGUUUCUGGUACAUUCUUUAUGUUCUCGCUGGGGUUGGCAGCUUUCAAUACUCCUUGUGAGAAAGGCAUCAAAGCCUGAAGGAUGAAACAAUAAGAGAGGGAUAUUGCUCGAUAUUGUUAGAGCUGACUUUUUUCUUGAGGCUGUUUUCACACUUCCUCGGGCAGUAAGAGUUUUAAAAAAAAGUAGUCUCUAACAUGAAGCCCACUUCUGGAGUCUGAUAAGAUAAAGCUAGACAGGCCAAGAAAUCUUUAUUUCUCUGCAAAGUUAUUGGUUCAUGUCUCAUGUCCACAGAUUAAAGAAAAAAAUUGAUCUUGCUUUCAGACAAAGAAUUUUCACAAUGCUGAAUUUUCACAAUGCUGAUUGUCGAGCAUGGGUUAAUUUGCUGAGUUCUUUUUCCUCCUCAAUGAGUGGAGUGUUUUUGUUAUGGGGCUUUGUUCAGGUUUAUAUGAAAAUGUGUCUUCAUUCUGCUUUGAAGUUUUUUUACACAUUCUUAUGAAAACACAUACUGCAAGUAUUUCUUAGCUAUGAAGGGACUAAUCUAAUCUUACACUUCAGUUUGUAAGAUAAUGUAUUUCCUCUUUCAUCAUUGGAUUUAGACUUACUCUUUAAAAAUAAAAAGGGAAAAAGGAGAUAGGAGACAAGACUUUGCUAAGCUGAAAGAACAUGAAAUAUUUUUUUUCCUCCUUGUCUUCCUAAACAUACCCAAGUAAUCCACUGACAGGAGAGAUGCCAGGAAAAGGUGCAGAAAUACCUGUGUAAUGACCUUUGCUAUUAAAAUUAACGUGUGCCUCCUGCACCUGUUCAGAAAUGGUUUAACAUUCUUCUGACUGACUUCAGAAACACUGGGUAAUUAAACAGUACUUUCAGUGAAGGUCAACUCUGAAUUAGUAGUUCAUUAAAUUAUUUGUCAUGCUGAAUGUUACUCCUGGUCACCAGCAGAAGUGAAUUCAAACAAAGAGCAGAGGAAUGUCAUUUCUGUGCUCUCAUUGCAGGGAAAAUUGCUGUCUGAGCUGUUAGGUCACCCAGCAGGGAGGAGCCCUCAUGCCCAGCACAGAAAAUCCUUGUUUGCACAGGGAUUGGUAGAGGUGGCAUACUCAGAAACAUCUCAGGAGUCUGCUACCUGCUCUUGUUUCAGAAUAUGCAUGUAAGAGCUCAGUUGUCCUCUUUGUGCCCUGAAAAAUUAGUUUAUAUUGGCAAGGAUUUCUCUUGUAGUGUCCCACCUUUUACACCAGCUACAAGGAGGACCCAUGCCUUUUUAUUGUAAUUUUAUGUGGUGGUAAAAGUUUGAGAUGGAAUAGAUUAUGACUUAGACAUCCCAACACCUGCUGAAACAAACCCGAUUAUGAAAAGGAUAAUUAAACCUGACUAUAAAUACUGCAGUGUGAACCACUUGGCAUCCGAUUUUCUCACACAUGAGAGGCAGCAGUGUAUUUCUGUGAAGUUCUGAUCUGGCUGCUCUCUCUUGCAUUUCCAGCACUGGUCUUCAGCAGUUUUUCCCCAUAAGGAUGGAGACUAGAGCCUCAUGUUCCUCCUUGGGCCUGUAGCAUCCAUAGCUAGGUGCAGACACAAUGUUUGUUCUGUUUUCUACCCAGACUGCAUGUUUUUAGUUCCUUCAGUGUUUGAGUAGGGCUUCCAUUUACAAUCAGUGGGAAUUUAGGAUUAUAACCUGGACUGAUGCACCCUCAGGUUGAUCAGGAACCCUGUCAGGUGCCAGGACAUCCCCUGGUGGCUCUGAGUCCGUGGCAGCAGACCCAGAGCAGGUCCCAGCAGUCUGUCUGUCCCUGUGUCCCUCUGUCCGUGGUGCUGGCUCUGGAGCUGCCCUUGCAGGGACGCAGGCAGGGGGACCAAGGCGUCCCUGCUCCCAUCAGGUGUGCCUGGAUUAAAACUGAGCCACAAACAGCUGGGAGACCUCUGCAAUAUUUAUCAGACUGUACCUAUAAUGAAACUCUGCUCUUGGUAAUUGCUAGGAGAUUAAACCUUUCCAAAGACACAGUGAGUGAAUACUAAUGCCCUGCUCUCCAGAGGAGGGGACGUCAGGAGAGCUGGGGAGGGAAGGAGGAGGAAAACCUUUCGGUGUUCAGGGGCUGUGAUACCAGGGAAAACCUCAUUAUUUGUUCAAGGCACCAGAACAGGAUUUUUAUAGGCCAGAUCAAUCUACAGAUGCUCUGUGAAGGAGAAUUAUUCCAGGGCAGUGCGUGUGAAACUCUUCAGGUCUGAACCUUGGUCUGCUCUUCAGGGAUCUGGGUUGGCAUUAUUUGUUGAACACUUUUUGCUGUGGUAUUUACAGAGGGAAGGAAGAAAACUCUGCACUAAUGAGAUGUGUGAGCUGUUGCAUUCUUGCCAUCAUUCCUAAGGCUGAUCCUGACCACUUUGGUUGUCCAUGGAAGUCAGUAGAGGUUCCCCCUGCAUCUUUCAGGAAGAAGGACAGGAAUUUUGCAUUAUCCUGGCUCUGCCCCUCUGGUUGGAGGGGUUUCUGCCACCACUGCUUGUCCCCCUGUUGUUUCCUGCUGCUCAGUGUCAGUCACAGGCUCAGGAGGGGACUGUGGGGCACAGGAGCUUCAGCAGGUGUGACACCUCCCUGAGCUGCCCGUGGGGCUGGACUCAGCCUUCAAGUGCCCUGACUAGAAAAUCCAUUACACAGGACAGAACAAGCAAAGUGUGCAUUCUAUAGGGAAUUCCAUCUCUUUCCAAAAAGACAAUUUGGGAGAGGAGUGUUGUGUUAACAACCCGUGGUGAGUGAGGUCAGUGGGGACAGGAGGGAAAGGUUUUCCACCAGAGCCCAGGGAGGGCCCUGAGGCUGUGGGAACACUUGGGUCAGGGAACUCUGCCACAGCCAACAGGAUUCUUUGGAAAGAUUGCUAAUACCAGACUUCCAGGGCCAGAUUAGGACUUUCCAGUCCAAACUGCAGUGGGAUGGGGGCUCCCAGUGCACUCAGACUGUCCUGGCCAUGCUGCCCACAGCGGGUGGGGAAUGUCCAGUGGCACGCGGGGGCAGCUGAGGUGUUCUGAGAACAUCACCCACGGGGAAGCUGCUGUGGUGACAACCCAAUAACUGCAAAUUGUUCCUCUGAACACGAAGAAUAUAAGGUAGAGAUCAAAUGUUGACCCUUUUUCAAUGCCCAAUGCUAAUGUGUAGAUGGUAGCAUAGCCCAAAACCCAGGUGUCCCUAAAUAUUUUUUAUAUUUGUUAUUUAUAUGUUUUGCAAAAAACCCACACAGAAUAGACAACAGAAUAAGUAAAGAAUGCCACAUAGUUGAAUGGGAAGGCAAAUAGAUGGAUGAUACAAAUUAGCCAACGUCUUUCUGUCUGGUUUCUUGAAUAAUAGUUACAUUUUAUUCAUGUAUAUUGAGCCAAAGAUAUAGCCACACACUAAAUCAAUUGCUUUUGAAAAUAGUAUUAAAACAAAGAAAAAAAGGGUGUUUUAGAUGGUCAAGAAAAUGGAAACUUCAAAAAAUCUUUGCAAGGCUCACUGAAGAGAUAUUAAUUUUUCUGUGGACUUUGUAAAUUUAUGUUCAUUAGAAACUCCCAAACUCUAAAUGACUUUUAAAUUAUAUAUCCUGUGAGGGUAAAAAAAAAAAAUAUCCAAGUUUUCAUUUAUAUAUAUUAAAAUUACAGCUGAGAUUCAUGAUUUUAUUGUAGUGCCUCAAUCCCAUUAACAUUGAGAGAAGUUAGAUAUUUAGAUACCUUUGUGGAGAAAUCUUACAAAAUGAGGUUUUUAAUGGACAAUUUAAUGAAAGUGCUGCUGUGUGUGCAACAGCUGACCAAAAAAAAAAAGCUGGCAAACCCCUGGAAAAAUGGAGAAAAGAGGGAUAAGAAAUAAUUUUGAAGAUUUAAUAUGUUAUGAAAUCAAUUUAAAUAGGGGAAGUACUGAGUGAGGAGGACACGGGUGUUUGUGCAGCCUCUGUCUCUGUCUCUGAGGUUAAUUCCAGCAGGCUGUGCUGUCCUGGCUGUCAGCCCUGCUGGGACUGGCCUUGCCCUGAGCUGGGAUUUCACACCUGCCACUCGCAUCCCACUGCUGCUGCUCGGUGCCUGCAAGGGAAAGGAGAGCAGGCAGCAAUCUGGGGGUGUCAGGUAACAUCUGUUACCUAAAAAAUCACCCUGCCGAGGCCCUGAGUGCCGUGCUGUAAAAGUAUACUUGAAAUAUCUCACAAUAUUUUAUAAAACGGUCCUAUUAUAUGUGUUAUAAAAAAGGCAGCCAAAGGUUUUCCUGAAGUACGCUUAAUGAAAAUGAGGAAUAUACUGACUCUGCCAGGCAGCUGGAAGAAAUGUUGAUAUAGAGAAUUUAAUCCUCCACUUCUGGGUUUUCUGUUGUUGUCUGCAAGCCACCCCUGGCAGGGAAGCACGCUGUGAUUUCCUGAGCAGCACUGAUGUUCCUCAUGUCUUGGACACAGUUUUUACUAAAGGCUCCUGGGAAUGCUCUGGUAGCAGCUCUGUGCUGUGGAGGGAGAAUGAGAAGAAUGAGAAAACUUUGCUGCCAAUAACAGUUGUUGUCUGCAAGGCCAGAAUGAGUCAACAUAGGAAAGUACACUUGCUUGUGUGAUGUUCUUUAUUAUUCUGACUGUAUUUCUAAAUUCCCUGAAAAAGGUUCCUUGAAGAAACUUAGGGAUUGCCUGGGAAGAAGAAAAGUUUUGCUAUGAAUUUUUCAGGAAAUCCUCUCAUGAUUAAUCUCUGUUUAUACUUGAAAUUUCUGUUCCCAGACAGAUUUUCCCCAUGUUAAAGAAAUUACUCUGUAGGAAAGAACAGAAUGUCUGAAGAAGACAGUCAACACACACCUAAAAUGGUAAUUUCAUUAUGAUGUUUUUGUGCUGUGCUUCCAUCCAUGUUUCCAAGGGCUGAUUUGAUUAUGUAGCAGUUCCUUUUUAGAAUAAACCAGCAUGUUUAGGAAGGCAUUGACUCAUGGCAGAGCUAAAACUGACAACAGUUAAAUGUAACUCCUUCCAUUAACAAUAAUGGAAUUCAUGUUGUAUCAUUAUCAUGGUUGGAAAGCCUGUCAAGAAAGGAAAAAAAAAAAGCACAGCACAGCACUGAUUUAUAUGGUUUUUAUGUCGAGAGCAUGUGUCGGUGAUCCCAGCUGGACUAUAAAGGGCACAGGCAUUCCACUGCUAAGAUUUAGGUGCCAUUUGAAAGUAAAAAAUCAGGUUUUGAGGCAAGGGUUGAAGUUAAAUCUUGACAACACACAGAAAAUAAAAAGUGUGUAAUGAGAAGAAAGAAAAGAUACUAGGGAGAGGUCAGAAAAAAAAUUCUUUAACACCAGAAAUCUUUUAAAGAGUAAAAAGGGGCACAAUAAAAUAUGUUUAAGUCCAAGGGGGUAGUUGAUGUCAGGCAGUGGGAGAAUUUCUGGUGAAUUUUUAAGUUGCACACUGAAAAUUCCCCCACUGAGCUGGUGAGAGCACGGUGCUGAUAUCACCAAGGUCAUGGAUGUGAGCUGUGUAGGGGUGAUGCACUGAAGAGUUGCACUCAGAAAUCCCUGUGGGUCCCUUCCAGCUUGGAAUAUCCUGUGAAAUCCCUCUCAGAAGUGGCCCAGCUCUCUGGGCAGAAACGCAGUGGCUGAGCUGAGCCUGUGGUGGCUGAUGCAAAGAAAACUGAGUGAAGAACUUGGGAGCAAAGGAGGAUCGUAUGGCUUGGGCUGCGAGCCCAAGUGUGGGCUUGGACUGAGAACAGAAAAAUAGUUUAUUUACAACAAAUGGGGUCAUUCCCAAUGGAAAGAUGAAAAGAGACUUAUUUUCUCAAGCUCAGUCUGAGAUGAGUCCAGGGGUACAGGAUACUAUGGUUCCAAUCUUGACUUUGAAUUGGACCCAAGAACAGUAAUAAAACCAAAAUUGUUCAAAUCAUUUAA